rnacentral:tRNA from 1 species
GUCCUGUAGCGCAAUGAAUAGUGUGUUGGACUUCUAAUCCAAAGGUUAUGGGUUCGAAUCCCACCUGAGAUG